CGGUUGAUCCUGCCGGACCCUACUGCUAUCGGGGUGGGACUAAGACAUGCGAGUCGAGCGUCUCCAAAGCUUUUGAGACGCGGCAUACGGCUCAGUAACACGUGGCUAACCUACCCUCAGGACGGGUAUAAACCCGGGAAACUGGGGCUAAUACCCGAUAGGCGAGGAAUGCUGGAAUGCUUCCUCGCCCAAAGGACGUUGAAACCAUGCUUUUCAACGUCGCCUGAGGAUGGGGCCGCGUCCGAUCAGGUUGUUGGUGAGGUAACGGCUCACCAAGCCUAUAACCGGUACGGGCCGUGCGAGCGGGAGCCCGGAGAUGGGCACUGAGACAAGGGCCCAGGCCCUACGGGGCGCAGCAGUCGCGAAAACUCCCGCAAUGCGCGAAAGCGUGACGGGGCUACCCCCGAGUGCCGUCCCGCUGAGGAUGGCUUUUCCCCGGUGUAAUGAGCCCGGGGGAAUAAGGAGAGGGGCAAGUCUGGUGUCAGCCGCCGCGGUAAUACCAGCUCUCCGAGUGGUAGGGAUGAUUAUUGGGCUUAAAGCGUCCGUAGCCGGCUUAGCAAGUCUCCUGUCAAAUUCAGCGACCUAAUCGUUGAGCCGCGGGAGAUACUACUAGGCUAGGAGGCGGGAGAGGCCGACGGUAUUCUCGGGGUAGGGGUGAAAUCCUAUAAUCCCGGGAGGACCACCAGUGGCGAAGGCUGUCGGCUAGAACGCGCUCGACGGUGAGGGACGAAAGCUGGGGGAGCGAACCGGAUUAGAUACCCGGGUAGUCCCAGCUGUAAACGAUGCGGGCUAGGUGUUGGGGUGGCUACGAGCCACUUCAGUGCCGCAGGGAAGCCAUUAAGCCCGCCGCCUGGGGAGUACGGCCGCAAGGCUGAAACUUAAAGGAAUUGGCGGGGGAGCAC
rnacentral:rRNA from 1 species